GCUGGUUUAUGAUAAUACGCCCUAUUCAGAGGAGCUGGUAAUACUGGUUGGGCUGCUGGUAAAUCCCUUUAGUGCUGACGCUACAAGCAAUGAGUGACUGUAUUGUUCAACACUGAAGUGAUGACUUCCUGUUGCUGAUGUAACUCCUUCCUUCACCAUCAGCAGGAUGGUGUCUGCCAUUACAGAAAACUCCAGCGGUCCUUUAAAAAAAUGAACCUCCAAG